rnacentral:rRNA from 1 species
UACGUAGGGGGCUAGCGUUGUCCGGAUUUAUUGGGCGUAAAGAGCUCGUAGGUGGUUCGGUAAGUCGGAUGUGAAAUCUCCAGGCUCAACCUGGAGGGGUCAUUCGAUACUGCCGUGACUAGAGUUCGGUAGAGGAGUGUGGAAUUCCUGGUGGAGCGGUGAAAUGCGUAGAUAUCUGGAGGAACACCGGUGGCGAAGGCGGCAUCCUGGACCAACACUGACACUGAGGAGCGAAAGCCAGGGGAGCAAACGGG